rnacentral:rRNA from 1 species
GAUGAACGCUAGCGGCAGGCCUAAUACAUGCAAGUCGAACGCUCAGUAGCAAUACUGGGAGUGGCGCACGGGUGCGUAACGCGUACACAAUCUACCUCUAAGCGGGGACACCUCCUGGAACGGGGAUUAAUACCGCAUAAUAUGCCGAAGUCGCAUGACUUUGGUAUUAAAGCAGCAAUGCACUUAGAGAUGAGUGUGCGUCCCAUUAGGUAGUUGGUGAGGUAACGGCUCACCAAGCCUAUGAUGGGUAGCCGGUCUGAGAGGAUGGGUCGGCCACACGGGCACUGAGACACGGGCCCGACUCCUACGGGAGGCAGCAGUAAGGAAUAUUGGUCAAUGGUGGAAACACUGAACCAGCCAUGCCGCGUGGAGG